rnacentral:rRNA from 1 species
UGGGGAAUAUUGGACAAUGUGCGCAAGCCUGAUCCAGCCAUGCCGCGUGAGUGAUGAAGGCCCUAGGGUUGUAAAGCUCUUUCACCGGUGAAGAUAAUGACGGUAACCGGAGAAGAAGCCCCGGCUAACUUCGUGCCAGCAGCCGCGGUAAUACGAAGGGGGCUAGCGUUGUUCGGAUUUACUGGGCGUAAAGCGCACGUAGGCGGACUUUUAAGUCAGGGGUGAAAUCCCGGGGCUCAACCCCGGAACUGCCUUUGAUACUGGAAGUCUUGAGUAUGGUAGAGGUGAGUGGAAUUCCGAGUGUAGAGGUGAAAUUCGUAGAUAUACGGAGGAACACCAGUGGCGAAGGCGGCUAACUGGACCAUUACUGACGCUGAGGUGCGAAAGCGUGGGGAGCAAACAGG